rnacentral:lncRNA from 1 species
CUCUUCUCCACUUCUUCAACAAUUCCUCACCUCACCUCUCAUCUUCUCUCUCAUUCGUUCCUCUCCUCCCCAACAAAUCUUCCGGCUACAUACUCCAUUCCGGCGAGCAGGUUACUCUUCUUCUCAGGUGCUUGAUGAAUAUUUUCAUUUUAAUUACAUAGGGUAUUACUCUACUGCCUGCUUUUCUUGUUCAUUUUUUGUUAUCAUCCGAACUUGGGAGGGCUUGUUCUCACUGCUAUGACGAUUUCUCAAAUUUCUUUCUAAAUUCAGUGUGCGGUGUGAUUUGUGAUGCUUCAGGUAAUGUCAUCCCAAAAUCAAAUUAAAUAAGCAAUUAUUGUCUCCUGGAAUUAUGAGUUGUGUAUUUUUGCAUUUAAUGGAUUUAUUAUUUCUUUUUAUUGCUUGUUUGGCAUAUUUGAUUAGUACCCAAUAGUGGAAAACACUAUGCAAGCAUAGCAUACUGUGAAUUUUGAUUUUUCAGAUUAUGGACUUGUUCGCAUAUGUGAACUUUCCAAAUUAAAAUUGUUAAAAGUUGUCAAGGAACCCAUUUGCUCUUCAAGCGCCCCAGCUCCAAAUUUCCAUUUUUAGUGAUUCUCUUUUGUUUAUUAAAAUUCAUUGUGAUUUAAUUAUGUUUUUAUUGUGUUUGCUUCUUGUCUUUCACAUAUGAUCUGUGAAAAUUAUAUUUAGUUGUACUAUUGUACAUGUGAUAAGUAUAUUUUUUUGAGUACUGUAAAUGAUUAUUGAUAUGAAUAACGAUGAUGCUUACGAAUAUAUUUAUGUAUAGGAAUGUUAAUGAAUCAAGUUUGGUUCAAUAUGUGAGUGACAAUAAUUUUUUAUUUACCGAUGAUUUCGAUGUGGCUAUUGGAGAUAUGAUGAUGCUUCGCUAUUUUGGAUAGGACACACUUGUAGAACAUCAUUGUUUAUUGGAAGGAAAUUUAAGUAAUAUUAGUGGGUGGUUUCUUAAACAUGCUUGCACGGUUGCACCAGUUGGGAGAAAAUUUAAGUAACAGUUUGUAAAU